rnacentral:lncRNA from 1 species
UGUACUAUACUCAGUGUGCUAAAAGAGACCUUGGCUUUUUUUUUCCACACCCUCCCCCCCCUCAACUCUCUCCAGAAAACUGUGACCAUAUGUGAAUCCAUGAGCCACAAUUCAGAAUCCAAUCAGCUGCCUUAGGUUUCUGAUAAGAGAUCAUAUUGUAGUGAGGGCUCUCUUGCCUUUGAUAACCCUUGCGUCUAAAACCAGAAUAUGUGUAUUUUUCUCAACUCAGUGGGGGUGUUUUAUCACCCUGUGCUCACAUUCUUCACUCUCUCACUCAAGCUGGUCAUAGCUGUUUAAUGGUUAUCACUGUGCCAUCUGUAAAAGUGUUACAUGGUUCUCUGCAGUCCUGCUCAGAGACGUCUAUUCCUCCUAAAUCGUGUCUCUGUGGGUGCUGGUCACAGAAACUCAGCACUCCUGGAGCCGACUGGUGAUUCAUACCUGCAGAGUUCCCUGAUGCUGGCUGUGCUGAAGCCAGAGAUGUCGCCAGUAUCUCUGUGGGUGAGAUAAAGAUGCAAAAUGAUUUGGUGUUGCAUGCUGGCCUUCUCCUGAGUUAGUCCUGGAAGCUUUGUGAUGGUAAGUUACAACUUCAUCAGGAAUGCUUACAGUUUAACUUCACUGCUCUUCCCUUUUGACAGCAGUGGUCACAAAUAUGAUGUCUCCAUAAAUCUGCUACUCAGGCCAUGGCAUUGAUAAUAACCCAUUAUAUGAGGCUGAAGCGAGUCUAAAGAAUUGCCUUGGUGUGACUCUUAAACAUGGCAUAGGAUUUUUGAUUCCACUCUUAGGAUUUCAUUUACAUAGGUGGGGACAUGGGAAUGAAGGAAGCCUCCAAAGCUUAACAUGAGCAUCUGGAUGGGAUGGUAAUGAAGUUUCACUGUGGGAGAGAUUUUGAAGGCAUGGAGAUGGCAUUGUGAGUUGCUCUGAAAGCUGCCAAUUGUUGUCAGUAUGUUGACAAUUAUUUUCAAUUUGUUUUGUUUUGGUUUUUAAUUGUGAAAAUGUUCCCAGAAGCUUAGUAAAUGAGGACAUGUUCUUAUAAAUAUUGAGCUAAAAUGUAAAAGCUCACAUGGCCCAGCUUUGGUUAUGAAACCUACUUCUUGCAGUUGGUGUCAUUCUGCCCCUUGAAGGCCUGUGUUCAGAAGUGGUGCCUCUAGUUGUAGGAUGAGGGUAUUUAUCUCAGCCUACAAUGAGACAAUGCUUAGAGUAUGCUUCUUUUAAGCUGCACAUGCAGCCUUACAAAUGGAUUUAAUCCCACUCCAGCACAUGGCUUUGUUUGUGGACGUAGGAUGCCAGGAAAUAACAAUAUAUUCUGUAUGAUAUUUAUAAGCUGCAUGCAAAACUGCUGAACCAAAAACCUAGUCUUCAAAAAUUAAGAUCAGGAUUGUGUUUGCAGACAUGUUUUGUAGUUAGUUUUCUUUCAUCCCUUAGAUAUUUUCUUUUUCAAAGAUGAUGGAGGUUGUUGAAACUUCUGGUUGUUCAUUGAAUUCAAAAAUUGUUUAUGAAAUACCACCUC